UGUCGUUUGAUGACAGUUCUGCCCAUCAAAGCUUAAAAUUCGACGGUAGGGAUGAUGUGUUUGGAAGGGCAAUUUGGUCCUCUAAUGUUUUGAGCGAAUUGUGGGGUAGGUGGCUUCGUUGUCAUUCGAUGAGGAUUUCGGGGGAUGGACCGCCCCUGAGAUAGAGAGUGUGUGUGAGAGAGAGAUAUGGGAGGAUUUGUGGAGGGAUUUUAGGGAUUUUCUUAGAGAGGGAGAAUGAGACAGAGAGAGAGAGAGAGAGAUUUCAGCGAUUUGAAAAUUCAUCCCCUUCACACAAGCUCUGCAAAUCAGUCUUCCUUUCUUUUCUAUCUGCCGUUUGCAUAUUUCUCUCGCCAAUUAUCGACGCCGGUUCUUGGUCAGAAACUUUUGCGCUCUUGCAAAAUUCUUUUGUUUGAAAACCCUCAACCCUUACAAGUUUCUGCCUUUUUUUGAAUUCGGUCGGAAAUCCAAUUUCUUGCUCACAUAACCUAGCGUUUCCUGGAAAGGCUGGGGUUCGAAUUAUGGGGUUUUUGCAUACAAGAUUGGAAGCCCUUUCUUAUCAAGUUAACGGAAACCUACUGCUUGGAUUUGGCUCUCCCUCGCAUUGAACACAUAACUAUUGAAACAUAACUAGAUGCCAAUUCCUUUCUUCAGUUGGAAGAAAAUGGAAACCCUAUCAAAGUCUGUAACUACAAGCAAACAUGAGGAGGCACAAAUUGGAAUGAGUGAGAGAUAUAUGUUUUGGAAUCAGACAGAAUCCCUCUUUAACCACGGAGACUAUUUUUGUUGCUUCCUUAUGCACACGAGGCAAUUCCACGAGGUGAUUCUGAGCAGAGAGUACUCAAGGAGUGCAUGUUUCAGGACCUGAGCUGGGGGAACAAGAAGCAUCGGUUUGUUUCGAGAUUUUUAAUGGUGUGCUUGCUCUUGAAUUGGCUAGAGAUGGUGCAGCAGCUGCUCAAUCAGCUCAGAGUCGUGGUUGAUAAGCGCAAGAGGACCUUCCAGACAAGUGAAUGAAAAGGGAAAUAGUUAUUGGGAAAAGAAUUGCCACCAAAUUUUGGGACUGAGAAAGCUAUUCGUGCCAAGUAUGAGGGAAGACUGGGUUGCGAAGAAUGCAAAACAACCAGUUCCUAAACCAGUAGAUAUGAGCAUCAGUUCCAAUAGUUUGGUAAAGGAUGGAGCCACAUGUGGAGCUCCAAAGGAAACAAGGAGACAUUCUCUUGAGGAAGCGAUGCUUUUUACGGUGGCGGAAGCUGCUCCUCCAGUGGCAAGAUCCCGUGGGGUAGGUUUUAACUAGAUCUCUCUUUCACAGUUGCAAAAUAAUGGUCAGUUGGUGCGACGAUAUUGACUUCACUAAUGGACAUGAAAAGGAGACAUGGUAUAGUAAACAUUUACUUUUCAGCAUCCGACAACACUGAUAUGGCAUUUGGUGUAUACUUUGCUUUUGAAUCCCAAUCGGAAUUAUGCCCCUCUCAGUACUGAGGAUCCUGGAAAUUCCAGUCGGGUUGCACUUACUCUUGGUCUACCCCCAACAUUGGUCUUUAAAUGUGGAAGAGGAAGCGCGUCCAUCCCACCCACCAAAAAAUGGUUAGAGCCUUAGAGGUGAAUGGUGUUCUUUUCUUUAGACAAGUUUUUGGAAACAAUAUUAUUUGAAUUUUUUAUAUUUUAACAAGCAAGUGAAGUCAAGUUUUAGUGAUUUUGAUGCAUAUUUUAUUAGUGAUUUUGACGCCACCAACCUUAUCUCAGUGUAUCACUUUUGACGUUUUAUUCAGCUUCCUUUGGUAAUUGUACUUAAUGAAUAGGAUUUUAGAUGUUUUCAUUUGCGGUUCAUUUAGUCAGUCAAGGUAUUAAUUUGUUUCAAUUAUGUUCAUAAAGUUUUAUUAAACUCUUCAUUUUCAAUUGUACCAAUUAGGCUCAUAAAGUGGUUCAAAGAGCUUCAAGAGCUUGAUUCACUCAAUUUAUACUUUUCAUGUAAAACUUUUUUCAAAAAGUUGAAACAUCUUUCAGUGUAGAUAACAUUAAUCAUUUGUAACAAUCUUUUAUCCUUCUGAAACAUAUUUUUUCAUGCAGUUUUUAAUCUCGCAGCAACGCGCGGGCAAUAUUUCUAGUAUACUCUAAUCAUCAACUCUCACCAAUCUCCCUUACUAUUAUUUAUAUAAUUUAUUUGUGUGUUUCAUUUGUUUGGUUUGGUUAUAAAAUUAUCAUAUAGCAAUAUAGCAUGUGAUUCUUGAAGUCAAUGUUGCAUAUUACAUAUAAAUGCAUAAAGCAAGAAAAACAGUGUUGUGCUAUAUCAAGUGCUUAGUUGUGUAAAGUGUUUGAGUUGUGAAGAUAUUCAAGGGUUGGAGAAUGCCUUGGAUAUAUAUUCUGAAACCUUGAAUAUGUCAUGUAUCGGAGGAAAGGCUUAAGUAUACAAUUGGGCUUUGGGCGAAAUGCCUAUAUAAUAAAGUGGAAAUUGAUAAUUUAAAUUACAAAAGUUGGUCUUAAGAAAUGCACAGGAGUUAACUCGUAUUCUAAGGUAUUCAGAGCCAAGUGGUAUAAGUAUGGUAUGGAACGUGCUGGCUUGGGUGCCUUAGGCAUGUGUUGGUGGGAUUAGAAGGGAGUGACAUUCAUGCAUUUCAUUUGCAUAUAUUUUAUGUAUUUGCAAGACUUGCUACAUUUUAAUUAUUAUUUGGUAGAUGCCUAUUUCCUUAGUGAACUAAUUUGUAAACUAAUAAUUAGUGUUUUUAUUUUGAUGCAUAUUCGAUAAAUUUUAUGUAGUAAAUUCAAGUAUAUAUUAUGUAAAUAUUAUUAGCAAGUGCUUUACGGUGUAGCGUGUAUUAGUUACAAAUAAGAUUUAUUUUAA